rnacentral:ncRNA from 1 species
UCUUAGUGCAUGUUUCACAACAAUAUUCGGAAAAGAUACACCUUUCAGCCGAGCCGUUCGAAUGUACUGAGCUGUCAUAACCUCGGCCAUUGAUGCUCUCGUCAUCCUUGCAAUGUAUCCCAUGCCAUAAAGAGCGAUUGUGAGAACUGGAAGAAAAAAGUUCUCAAAAUUUG